rnacentral:rRNA from 1 species
GGGGAAUAUUGGACAAUGGGCGCAAGCCUGAUCCAGCAAUGCCGCGUGGGUGAAGAAGGUCUUCGGAUUGUAAAGCCCUUUCGGCGGGGACGAUGAUGACGGUACCCGCAGAAGAAGCCCCGGCUAACUUCGUGCCAGCAGCCGCGGUAAUACGGAGGGGGCUAGCGUUGCUCGGAAUGACUGGGCGUAAAGGGCGCGUAGGCGGCUGUUACAGUCAGACGUGAAAUUCCUGGGCUCAACCUGGGGGCUGCGUUUGAUACGUGAUGGCUAGAGUUCGGAAGAGGGUCGUGGAAUUCCCAGUGUAGAGGUGAAAUUCGUAGAUAUUGGGAAGAACACCGGUGGCGAAGGCGGCGACCUGGUCCGAUACUGACGCUGAGGCGCGAAAGCGUGGGGAGCAAA